AACGAACGCUGGCGGCAUGCUUAACACAUGCAAGUCGAACGAGACCUUCGGGUCUAGUGGCGCACGGGUGCGUAACGCGUGGGAAUCUGCCCUGUGCUACGGAACAACUCAGAGAAAUUUGUGCUAAUACCCUAUAAUGUCGAAAGACCAAAGAUUUAUCGGCAAAGGAAGAGCCCGCGUAGGAUUUGCUAGUAGGUGGGGUAAAGGCUCACCAAGGUGACGAUCCUUAGCUGGUCUGAGAGGAUGAUCAGCCACACUGGGACUGAGACACGGCCCAGACUCCUACGUGAGGCAGCAGUGGGGAAUAUUGGACAAUGGGCGAAAGUCUGAUCCAGCAAUGCCGCGUGAGUGAUGAAGGCCUUAGGGUUGUAAAGCUCUUUUACCAGGGAUGAUAAUGACAGUACCUGGAGAAUAAGCUCCGGCUAACUCCGUGCCAGCCGCCGCUGUAAUAC
rnacentral:rRNA from 1 species